GCUGGUGUAGCUCAGAGGUAGAGCAGCGCACUCGUAAUGCGCAGGCCGUGGGUUCGAAUCCCACCAUCAGCUCCA
rnacentral:tRNA from 2 species